AUUGAACGCUGGCGGCAGGCCUAACACAUGCAAGUCGAACGAGUGGCGGACGGGUGAGUAAUGUGUGGGAAACUGCCUGAUGGAGGGGGAUAACUACUGGAAACGGUAGCUAAUACCGCAUACCAUCGGAUGUGCCCAGAUGGGCGUAGCUAGUAGGUGGGGUAACGGCUCACCUAGGCGCCGAUCCCUAGCUGGUCUGAGAGGAUGAACAGACACACUGGAACUGAGACACGGUCCCGACUCCUACGGGAGGCAGCAGUGGGGAAUAUUGCACAAUGGGCGCAAGCCUGAUGCAGCCAUGCCGCGUGUAUGAAGAAGGCCGUCGGGUUGUAAAGUUCUUUCAGCGGGGAGGCGUUACCCGCAGAAGAAGCACCGGCUAACUCCGUGCCAGCAGCCGCGGUAAUUC
rnacentral:rRNA from 1 species